CUGAGCUGCCUACAGCAGCUAGCUGUCUAAAAUGGGUGAGCCAGCUUCUGGAUAAUAUUUGAGCUGCCGAUAUACUUUUGAUAUAUUCUGCUAUCUUUUCAUUUUUCCUCACCUCCUUCCACACCUUCGGGUAGACAGAGUGUUUUAGAGACUUGCAACCGAGAAACGUGAAAAGACUCCUGCAAAGAGAAGCUUCUCACCUAGAUUCCUGCCUCUGCUUGUCUCAAGGAUGUGAAAGUAAAUGUAGUUCUGACAUCUUUUCAUUUCAAAGUUCUGGAUGAAUCUCAGAAGCCAUGGAUCUCUCUAGAAGGGGAUCUCACAGCCACAGCCAUUAGGAAAGGACAGGAAGUAAGAGUUGGCAUGGAACACAGAACACAAACAGCCUGCCUGUUCUGAUUACUCAUGCUCCUGCUCUCCUUCACUGAUGUAGAUGGUCAAGGACUGGGAGACCUGGGAAUCCAUCCCAGACACUGAGAAAAGACUGAGAAUUGAACUGGCUUGGUGGAUAUGCAAAGCAUCUCAUGACUUUGGAGCUACUCUAUCAACAAACAAAUAAACAAAAAUCAAGUUCUCAAAACCCCAACACCCAAUAAACAAGCUUCCAUAAGCCAGAAGGAAAACACCUUUAUUUGCGUCAACGUUUUCUUGGAACUUUCUUAAGUCAACUGUUUUUGAAGAGACUGAGAUCCAGCUCAGGCUCUGCCAUUGGCUCUUCCCAUUGGGCAAGUCACAUGGAUUGUUACGGUGUCCAGUCUUCAUCUAAUAAGAUAAAGGGAGUCUGCUCUCAAGAUUUGGAAGUUUAUCUUUUCGUUUAUAUACUUUAUCUAUGGGUGCAUUGGCAUUGGCACACCACAAUCACACAUGUGUUGAGGUCAGAGGGCAACUUGAAGGAGCUGAGUCUCUUUCACCAUGUGAAGUCCCAGGUGAAUGAAAAAAUGAGAACAGAACUGCUCUUAGGGACAGUGCAUGUUUAUUGUGGAUAAAAGGGAAAUUACAGCCAGAGGCACA